UUGGAGGGCAAGUCUGGUGCCAGCAGCCGCGGUAAUUCCAGCUCCAAUAGCGUAUAUUAAAGUUGUUGCAGUUAAAAAGCUCGUAGUUGAACUUCGGGGUUUACCCAUUGGUCAGGCUUAAUUGUCUGUACUGGUGAGAUGAAUCUCUACCUUCUGAGGAACUUUCAUGCCAUUUAUUUGGUGUGAUGGGAAAUCAGGACUGUUACUUUGAAAAAAUUAGAGUGUUUAAAGCAGGCUAACGCCUGAAUACAUUAGCAUGGAAUAAUGAAAUAGGACGUUCGACCCUAUUUUGUUGGUUUCUAGGAUCGACGUAAUGAUUAAUAGGGAUAGUUGGGGGCAUUAGUAUUCAAUUGUCAGAGGUGAAAUUCUUGGAUUUAUUGAAGACUAACUACUGCGAAAGCAUUUGCCAAGGAUGUUUUCAUUAAUCAAGAACGAAAGUUAGGGGAUCGAAGACGAUCAGAUACCGUCGUAGUCUUAACCAUAAACUAUGCCGACUAGGGAUCGGACGAAGUUAAUUUUAUAAUGACGCGUUCGGCGCCUUACGGGAAAC
rnacentral:rRNA from 1 species